UGAGGAUGUCACAGAGACUCUCCUCUUCUCUCUUACCUCCAUGUUCACUCUGUUACACCUAAACAGAGAGAAUAUAGACAGUGUUAUGGGUCAGGCAGAGAGAAUAUAGACAGUGGGUCAGGCAGAGAGAAUAUAGACAGUGGGUCAGGCAGAGAGAAUAUAGACAGUGGGUCAGGCAGAGAGAAUAUAGACAGUUAUGGGUCAGGCAGAGAGAAUAUAGACAGUGGGUCAGGCAGAGAGAAUAUAGACAGUGUUAUGGGUCAGGCAGAGAGAAUAUAGACAGUGGGUCAGGCAGAGAGAAUAUAGACAGUGUUAUGGGUCAGGCAGAGAGAAUAUAGACAGUGGGUCAGGCAGAGAAUAUAGACCGUUAUGGGUCAG
ensembl:lncRNA